UACGGAGGGUGCAAGCGUUGUCCGGAUUUAUUGGGUUUAAAGGGUGCGUAGGUGGCCUGGUAAGUCCGUGGUGAAAGCCUCUUGCUCAACAAGAGAACUGCCAUGGAUACUGCCGGGCUUGAGUCCAGACGAGGUUGGCGGAAUAGAGGCUGUAGCGGUGAAAUGCAUAGAUAGCCUCUAGAACCCCGAUUGCGUAGGCAGCUGACUAGGCUGGUACUGACACUGAGGCACGAAAGCGUGGGGAGCGAACAGG
rnacentral:rRNA from 1 species